CAUCAACCGAGAUUCCGAAAGUAGUGGCGAGCGAAAUCGGAGCAGCCUUCUAGUGAUAGCACGACGGUUAGCAAAACGGCCUGGAAAGGCCGGCCAUAGCGGGUGAUAGCCCUGUAUGCGAAAACCGACGUGUGGUACUAGGCUAGAGACAAGUAGGGCGGGACACGUGUAAUCCUGUCUGAACAUGGGGGGACCAUCCUCCAAGGCUAAAAUACUCAUCAUCGACCGAUAGUGAACAAGUACCGUGAGGGGAAAGGCGAAAAGAACCCCGGGAGGGGAGUGAAAUAGAUCCUGAAACCGCAUGCUUACAAAAAGUCGGAGCCCUUCGGGGUGACGGCGUACCUUUUGUAUAAUGGGUCAGCGACUUACAUUCAGUGGCAAGGUUAACCGAAUAGGGAAGCCGAAGAGAAAAUCGAGUCCGAAUAGGGCGUUCAGUCGCUGGGUGUAGACCCGAAACCAGGUGAUCUAUCCAUGGCCAGGAUGAAGGUGCCGUAACAGGCACUGGAGGUCCGAACCGACUAGUGUUGC
rnacentral:rRNA from 1 species